AGUGAACGCUGGCGGUAGGCCUAACACAUGCAAGUCGAACGGCAGCACAGUAAGAGCUUGCUCUUACGGGUGGCGAGUGGCGGACGGGUGAGGAAUACAUCGGAGUCUACUUUUUCGUGGGGGAUAACGUAGGGAAACUUACGCUAAUACCGCAUACGACCUACGGGUGAAAGCAGGGGAUCUUCGGACCUUGCGCGAUUGAAUGAGCCGAUGUCGGAUUAGCUAGUUGGCGGGGUAAAGGCCCACCAAGGCGACGAUCCGUAGCUGGUCUGAGAGGAUGAUCAGCCACACUGGAACUGAGACACGGUCCAGACUCCUACGGGAGGCAGCAGUGGGGAAUAUUGGACAAUGGGCGCAAGCCUGAUCCAGCCAUACCGCGUGGGUGAAGAAGGCCUUCGGGUUGUAAAGCCCUUUUGUUGGGAAAGAAAAGCAGCAGGUUAAGACCCCGCUGUUCUGACGGUACCCAAAGAAUAAGCACCGGCUAACUUCGU
rnacentral:rRNA from 1 species